CAGAGCCGCGGUAAUACGAAGGGGGCUAGCGUUGCUCGGAAUGACUGGGCGUAAAGGGCGCGUAGGCGGAUUGUUUAGUUAGGCGUGAAAUUCCUGGGCUUAACCUGGGGACUGCGCUUAAUACAGGCAGUCUAGAGUGAGGAAGAGGGUUGUGGAAUUCCCAGUGUAGAGGUGAAAUUCGUAGAUAUUGGGAAGAACACCGGUGGCGAAGGCGGCGACCUGGUCCUUUACUGACGCUGAUGCACGAAAGCUAGGGGAGCAAACAGGAUUAGAUACCCGGGUAGUCCCUGUCUCUUAUACA
rnacentral:rRNA from 1 species